rnacentral:rRNA from 1 species
UCUGCAGGUUGAUAUUUAAGUCUGUUGUGAAAGCCCUGGGCUCAACCUGGGAACUGCAGUGGAAACUGGACGACUAGAGUGUGGUAGAGGGUAGCGGAAUUCCUGGUGUAGCAGUGAAAUGCGUAGAGAUCAGGAGGAACAUCCAUGGCGAAGGCAGCUACCUGGACCAACACUGACACUGAGGCACGAAAGCGUGGGGAGCAAACA